rnacentral:rRNA from 1 species
UACAGAGGUCUCAAGCGUUGUUCGGAUUCAUUGGGCGUAAAGGGUGUGUAGGUGGCGCCGUAAGUCAGGUGUGAAAUUUCGGAGCUCAACUCCGAAACUGCAUUUGAUACUGCGGUGCUUGAGGACUGGAGAGGAGACUGGAAUUUACGGUGUAGCAGUGAAAUGCGUAGAUAUCGUAAGGAAGACCAGUGGCGAAGGCGGGUCUCUGGACAGUUCCUGACACUGAGACACGAAGGCCAGGGGAGCAAACGGG